UGAGUUGGACCGAUGAGGACGUCGGGUUCUUUGAGGGGGUGUGUGUGUGACAUCCGACCCAAAUUUGGAUGGCCCGGUAGUGGCCCAUGAGCGUAGGUACGCAUGUUUAGUACCACCUUGCUAGUUUAGCAAGGAUGGAGCCAACUUAUAAGUCUUUGUCAACCAUCCAUAGCACCUUCGGGUUAACCCUUUUACACGAAGCGAGGACGAAAGUGUAAGCAUGGUGCUAUGUGUACGCGUGC
rnacentral:lncRNA from 1 species